rnacentral:rRNA from 1 species
UACGGAGGGUGCGAGCGUUGUUCGGAAUCACUGGGCGUAAAGGGCGCGCAGGCGGCUUGGUCAGUCAGAUGUGAAAUCCCACGGCUUAACUGUGGACGUGCAUUUGAAACUGCCUGGCUUGAGUACCAGAGGGGAAAGUGGAAUUCCCGGUGUAGAGGUGAAAUUCGUAGAUAUCGGGAGGAAUACCGGUGGCGAAGGCGACUUUCUGGCUGGAUACUGACGCUGAGGCGCGAAAGCGUGGGGAG